rnacentral:rRNA from 1 species
ACGGGUGAGUAACACGUGGGAACCUUCCCUAUAGUACGGAAUAGCCCAGGGAAACUUGGAGUAAUACCGUAUACGCCCGAGAGGGGAAAGAUUUAUCGCUAUAGGAUGGGCCCGCGUCGGAUUAGCUAGUUGGUGAGGUAAUGGCUCACCAAGGCAACGAUCCGUAGCUGGUUUGAGAGAACGACCAGCCACACUGGGACUGAGACACGGCCCAGACUCCUACGGGAGGCAGCAGUGGGGAAUAUUGGACAAUGGGCGCAAGCCUGAUCCAGCCAUGCCGCGUGAGUGAUGAAGGCCUUAGGGUUGUAAAGCUCUUUUAGCGGGGAAGAUAAUGACUGUACCUGCAGAAUAAGCUCCGGCUAACUUCGUGCCAGCAGCCGCGGUAAUACGAAGGGAGCUAGCGUUGUUCGGAAUCACUGGGCGUAAAGCGCACGUAGGCGGAUUUGUUAGUGAGGGGUGAAAUCCCGGGGCUCAACCUCGGAACUGCCUUUCAUACUGCAGAUCUCGAGUCCGAUAGAGGUGGGUGGAAUUCCUAGUGUAGAGGUGAAAUUCGUAGA